GGCUCUUGACCUGAAUCUCUCUUGAGAUUUGAUGCAGUUGGUUAACCGAUAUAAAUGCGUAUAUUGCGCUGCAUGGUAAACACUGGUAACUUCUACUGCAGUAAUUUUAUCCAACUCAGUGUCAUUUAGUUAGCAGAAAAAAUACUACUUACUUUUGGUUGAUUGUUGUUGUGUCCUUCCUGUGAGAGCCAGGUGCACCGCGUCGUUUCCCAUCAGAUCCACUGCCAUGCCCGUCAGAAGAGCCGAUUUACACCGAUUGCAGAAUGCUGGUUCAGAAUCUCCAUCCACCGGUCUCAGCCAAAAGGUGGCGUCUUCUUGUUGUGGCACACUGCACAUGGACGCCUUUACAGUAUCAAAAUAACGACGCGCUCUACGAUUUUAGACACUAAAGUGUGUGUGAUUGCUGCGAAUCAGCAAUUUGUUUGACACACCACGGUCAGCCUACCAGCUACCGCCUUACGCAUGAAGUGGGCCAUCGUCGCUAUCGACUGCACCGAUAGGCGCGCUAAUAGACAGCCAGGCACAUAAAAUAGUUUAUUUUCAAUUAAGUAAGUAAGCUGUGCAAUAAAACGUAAAGCGGGAGAGAGAGGUGGUCACUUUAAUUACCGGCCGCAGCAAACCUUUAAAGAAGGUAGCGGAUGUAGGUAAGACGUGGCCGCGGCAGGCAUCUGACAUGUGUGAAGUGUGAGUCAUAGACAAAUGCGGCGGAGAGAAUCCGGUAAUUCUUCAAAAUAAAACAUCGUUCAGCAUCAGAUAAUACAUAAAAGAUAUAAGAAAUAAUGUAAGUUCUUGCUGGGCCUGAAAAAAGGGACAAAGCCGAAAGAAAAAGAAGAUGCAUUCUUUCUGGGGGGCCCGGCACGAUUGCUGCAAUACCAUCUGUUGCCAGUAGUCGGACCAUGAGCCUGACCUCCGCUGUUUUAGUAGGAAAAGGAGUCGAUUUUUGACUUUAACUGGCUGAGAUUGAAUGAUCCAUUUUCAAACAGCUGUGUGUCUGGGUCAUGAGCUGCUCACCUUUUCACAACAACGGGCCUGGCCCAACUGACAGAGGUCUCCUCAACCCCUGGGAUCCACAGGAGAUAUGACCACAGGUCUGGACAAAGGCUUUCAACAAUCCACAUCAUCUCUACCUGAUGUACCACCAAGAAAAUUAAACAUAUCUGACAGGAUCAUCUUAAAUACUCCAAAGUACAUGUGAAAGCAAACAGCCACGUUCAUGUAAAAAGUUUUAAAGAUGUUUUUCUCCACCAACCACACUCUCCUGUGUCUUCAGGAUUAAAGCCAAGGUUGUUUUCUAACUUCUGCCAAACCGAGUCGGUCUACGUCACACGUACGUCUUCUAACCAUCAUUAAACACAGAGCUGAAAGACACUUUUUAAUGAGUAGGUUUUUUACAAAAUGUCAAGUUGCCUUAGGUUUCCCUUGUACAGUAUGUUGUUGGUCAUCUUGUGAUGUAAAAUAAACUUUUUCAAAAACCUUAGUUGAACUGCUGUUAAAUGUUUUCCAGUAAUUCUAUCAGCACAGAGCUAACAUUUUUCUACAACUACACACAGCCUGCAAAACCACUAGUGUCAACUCAACAAUGAGUUUAUGUUUGCAUCUCACACCUACACUUUCAUGCAAUUAGUAGUGAUUCACACUCCAUAUGUGACUGAAAAAAAAAAAAAAAAA